rnacentral:ncRNA from 1 species
GAACUGAUAAUUUGAUAAGUGGAAUGAUGGGGUAACGCCCUGAAACGCUUACACUUGGUGGGCAUGCAGUUUCUGUAAAGGAGAUUGUAUGAAGCCCCACGACAAAGACUGAGAGUAACCGUAGCAGCUUGCCAAUAAAGUUGCCGAAAGCAAUCCAGAGGUGGAUUGUGUUACCUAUAGGUCGAGUGUCUAUAAA